GACCUCAAAUCGGGUGGGACUACCCGCUGAACUUAAGCAUAUCAAUAAGCGGAGGAAAAGAAACUAACAAGGAUUCCCCUAGUAACGGCGAGUGAAGAGGGAAAAGCUCAAAUUUUGAAUCUGGUGUCUUCGACGCCCGAGUUGUAAUCUAGAGAAGUGUUUUCCGUGUCGGACCGUGCACAAGUUCCCUGGAACGGGGCGUCAUAGAGGGUGAGAAUCCCGUAUAUGGCAUGGACUGCCGAUGCUCUGUGAUACACUCUCAACGAGUCGAGUUGUUUGGGAAUGCAGCUCAAAAUGGGUGGUAAAUUCCAUCUAAAGCUAAAUAUUGGCGAGAGACCGAUAGCGAACAAGUACCGUGAGGGAAAGAUGAAAAGCACUUUGGAAAGAGAGUGAAACAGUACGUGAAAUUGUUGAAAGGGAAGCGUUUGAAGUCAG
rnacentral:rRNA from 1 species